CGUGACCGGCCGGGUCCUCGGCCAUUUUGCUGCAGCUUCUGAAGAUUCGGGCAGGAUGGUGUCUCGUCAGUGCAGGCUCCUUCUUGGUCUGGCACACCUGCAGUCCUGAGGUGAGGUCCUGGACUUCACUGUGACCUUGCAGCAAGUACUGAGGAUUUCCUCUCUCACCCAGGCUAGCUGGAAAUGACCUGGGAUGAUACCAACUGGAACAAGCAAGUGGGUACAACAUUGAAGUGUGUAAAAGAAGUGAUGCCAGGUGACUGAAGACAGUCCGGUGUUACAGACAUGAACCAGCCAGAACAUUGAGUCAAGGUUGUCCCACGGACUCGGGCAAGUGGAGUGGUUAUGACCCCCUCUGCUUUAAAACCAGGUGCAGGAGACUCUGCUGACUGUCCAGGUGAUCAGAGCCAAGAUGAGAACAGCAGGGAUGUGAAGUAAAAAUGAAGCAGGUACUUAUGCUGGAAAGCAUCAUCGCUAUCUUCCUGAGGCCAUUGUGGGGAAGUGCAGCCCUCCAGCAGGUGAUGAAACAAGUGAUCUGCAAUUUGCAACACUGGAUGAAGUUAAACACCAAUGGAGUGAGAUUUGCCUGUGCAGUUAUUGUUUCUUCGUGAACCUGUUUUCUGCACUAAAGCAUCUGUUUAUUUGAAAUAAAUUGCUUUUUUAAA